AUUAGCCUCGUGUUUUUUCGACCCUCAUAUAUAUCUUGGACUCUAGACCACUCCAAGGACUCGGAGUUGGUAUCAUUCGUGAGACAGUUGGAGUCUUCUAUUCGUGCAGCUGCUUUACAUCUAGAAGACCUCGAUUGUUCUGUGAUAGAAGUUUCAUUGCUUUCUUUUUCGCUUGGGCUUCCAGCGUACUAUGUACUUGCUUCCUCUGAGUAUUCAUCCAACUUAUCACGUUAUGACGGUGUUUGGUGAGCUUCCUACCACAAUUGCCAUUCACGGUUGGCUAAGGAAAAUGGUUUCUGAAAAAUCUUCUAUGUCAAUUGCAUUUUUCGUUUUAUUGAAUUCUGGGUUUAUAGAAUCUGGGUACGAAUUGCAUAUUGUGAUCCAGUUUCAGCUCAAUUAGCUCGUGAUUUAGUAUCUGGUAUGUUAAUUGUAGUUGCACCUACGAUUUUAAUGCUUUCUGGGUUUAGGGUUAAGAUUGGGUUGUCUUGUGUGAUCGAAUGUCAACUUAGCACCGUUCAUGAUUUAGUAUGUAGUAUGUGGUGGUUGAAAUAUGCUAUGUCAAUUGCACCUUCGAUUUUGUUGAAUUAUGGGUUUAGUGAUAUCUGGGCUUAGGGUUUAGAUUGAGGUUGGUCUUGUUUAGCCUUUCCUUCAAAAUUAUCGAUCUAAGUGUGGGUGCUUAGUAUAUUGUAGGAGUACGUGUUUGGGUGAUAUAUCGAUGUUCGUUAGUUUGAUCCCUCAUAGUGUUUGGGUGUAGGCAACUGAUUUCAUCUCCCUCGAAUCGUUUCUUGCUUGUCGGACUAACAUCUGCUUGAUACAUCGAGUCUUUCUUUCACGGUGGCGGUGUUGUGAUAUCUUCUCUUGUAUCAGUAAAUUGUGACUACCAUUGGUUCAUUCUUACGCAUUGGUUAUUCCCUCAAUUUCAAACAUUAAUAUGGCUUGGGUUUGUGGUGUCCUAUUCUGUAUAAAAUAUAGAUGUAGAACAGUGAUCACCCCAGGCAUUCAAGUUAUCCUUUAGCCUUCAUUUCUUUUAGUUUUGAAAUAUUUAGUUUCUCCCUUCAUUUCAUCAAUUCUAGGGUUUCGAAUUUUAUGAUACUGCUAUUUUGGUUGCAAUUGACGAAUUUUGUAUACUAGGGUUUUUAUUUGCUAAAUUGGUCGAAUUAUUUGAGGGGUUAAUUGUUAAUUUUAUCCCGUUUGGUGGUGCCUUGCCACGUUCAUAUAGACAAGCUUUCCUUCAAUAUCUAUUUUCCCUCUUCUCUUAACUACAAUUCCACCUGAUUUGCUACUCUAGGUCGCUCGAAUGUUAGGAAAUCUUCUCUUCUUAAUACUUUGUAGUCUAGUUGGGAAGAAAGAGGGUCGGGUUUUUUUCUUUGCUUGUUUUCACUCUUGCCCACCGCCUGUUUGUUUAAAUUCCUCAAUGAGAGACAUUUUUUGUUGAAAAGAAAAAAGUUUAAUGAACGUUAUGUAGAAGACAAUCAUUGUUGAUAAUGUCAAGUUGAGCAUAGCUUCUUGUUGAAAAAAUGGGUUUGGAUGGUAACUGUGGAAUGUGGAUUGAAUUCAUGUUCCUGUUUCAUUCUUGGCUACAGAAGAGUGCAGUAUACUAAUAGCAAUUGGUAACAAAAAAAUGUGAUUGAUGCGCAGGGAAAGCAUACACUAUGGUUGAUAACGGAGUGUCAUCAGGUAGCAAUAAGCACCUUCGUGCUGCUAAGCAUGAGCAUGUUGUUUCUAAUCGUCAACAUUUUAUGACUACUCUUGAGAACCUUCAUGUUGCUAAGUCCACUAAGUUCAUGUAACCUGUCUUUCUAACUUUGUAUCAUGUAUUUGCAUCUGACAACCUUAUACUAUCUUCCAAUCAACCUUAUUAUUACUGGAUUCCCAUUAUAGGAGGCCGAGAUCUUGACCGGCCUGCACAAGCUUUUUGUCGAGGUUACUUAUCGGGAUGGUAUUGACAAGGUGCAUUUUAAUCAUCUAAUUACACUCCUUCCUUCCCCAUGUUACUGUCCUGAUUACCUUCUAGCUUAGCUCAUGUGCUUUAGUAGCUAAACUAUGUAUGUGUGAUUAUGUGAAAACAUUUGUUGAUUUCGAUGUUGCUUCUGAGCUCCUGAGUAGUUGAACACACGCAAGGCUAUCCAACUGAAGCUCCAGGUGGGUAAUUUGGAGAUCCCAGGCGAACAGGUUCAAAACUCAAACAGAAAGGUGAUCAAGGUUCUCUAUGGGGAUGAUCUGGAAACUGGAGUUUUCGGUAGAGGCUUUUCGAAAUUCUAUGAUCAAGGUUGUUCGACCUCUGACGAGGAUUAUGUGAAAUCGGGAGGGAACUUGGACAAUUUACCUAGGCUUGCUUGUUUCGUUCUUUGGACAACAGUAAAAAUUUAUUUGCAAAAGUGUUGAAGCAUCACGCACUUACUCCUCUAUAUAUACAUGUGCAUUGUAUUGAAGCAUCUAUUACUAAGGCUUUACUUCCACAAUCAAAAGCUAACAGAAAAUCUCUUGGUCUGUCGGAUUCUUCUUCAUUCUUCCUGUAUGUUCUGCUGUUUGUCUGUUUCUACUAUAAAUCUGUGACUUAUUUGUAUAUAUUCUUAUCAUGUUUUCUAGCACAUUUAAUGCUCUUCAUAUUUAUUUUACACCAAUAUCUGCUAAUUGAAUUUUGGUUAUAAAGUGUUUGUUAUAAAUCGGUCAGCAUCUUAGUGUAGAUUCUUAUAUUGUUUGCUAGCACAUUUAAUGCUCUGCCUAUUUAAUCCAAGCCAAAAAUCUACUACUUUCUUUUGGUAUAAAUUGUCCAACCUUGGUAGUUUUUUUAAAAAUUCAGUCAUAUUUCAGAAUGACAUGAUUCUUCUUUUUAAACCACGAUUUUUGUUUAUGCUUCCCUUCACUGAUAUUUUGCAUCUGACUUUGUGAAGGUACAAAGUGAAGGUUAAAGUCAAGGUUAAAGUCAUAGAAAAAAGCCGAGCUAAGGUGUCUCCGAAGAAGGGAAUUAUGUACCAGUCACUACUUCUCGAAGAUGAUAAGGGUAACAAAAUGUGAGGCGCACUGUUGGGGGAUCAAGUUGAUGGGUACAAGGAUGCGUUUGCAUGUAAGGGAGAGUAUGAGAUAGCUAAUGCGCCAAUUAAGGCCCUAGAUGAAAGGUGGAAAAUGAGUCCGUGGAUGCUGAAGCAGGGUCUGUGAUGCCAAACUACCAGUGCCUAGCCUCAAUUCCAAGAGCUGUAAACCAUGGCGACAAGUUUGAUAAUUAUACUUCACUUUGUCUCAAAUCCCUUAGAUCAUGCUCAGUACACUAGCCUAAACUGCUACAAAGCUUGUUUUAUUUCUGGCCAGACAAUCUUUCAUGCUUAGUCUCACAUUUGAUACCAUGUUUAUAACCUGCCAUAUUAUAUAAUUUGUCUUUGACCUUGUAUAUAUAGCAUGUAACUACAUGUAGACACCUACUUUUGUCCCAAUUCCCGAAAGGGAAGGUUCGAUGAUGAGAACAUAAAUCUCCACUUGGCAACGCAUCUCCUAUAAAAUAA